rnacentral:rRNA from 1 species
UACGAAGGGGGCUAGCGUUGCUCGGAAUUACUGGCGUAAAGCGCACGUAGGCGGCUUUCUAAGUCGGGGGUGAAAUCCUGGAGCUCAACUCCAGAACUGCCUUCGAUACUGGAGCUUGAGUCCGGGAGAGGUGAGUGGAACUGCGAGUGUAGAGGUGAAAUUCGUAGAUAUUCGCAAGAACACCAGUGGCGAAGGCGGCUCACUGGCCCGAGUACUGACGCUGAGGCACGAAAGCGUGGG